rnacentral:snRNA from 1 species
CAAAUUUGUGAAGUGUUCCAUAUUUUU